rnacentral:rRNA from 1 species
AUUGAACGCUGGCGGCAGGCCUAACACAUGCAAGUCGAGCGAGCGGCGGACGGGUGAGUAAUGUCUGGGAAACUGCCUGAUGGAGGGGGAUAACUACUGGAAACGGUAGCUAAUACCGCAUACCAUCAGAUGUGCCCAGAUGGGAUUAGCUAGUAGGUGGGGUAACGGCUCACCUAGGCGACGCUCCCUAGCUGGUCUGAGAGGAUGACCAGCAACACGGGAACGGGGACACGGGCCAGACUCAUACGGGAGGCACCAGUGGGGAAUAUUGGACAAGGGGCGCAAGCCUGAUGCAGCCAGGCGGCGUGUAUGAAGAAGGCCUUCGGGUGGUAAAGUACUUUCAGCGGGGAGGCGUUACCCGCAGAAGAAGCACCGGCUAACUACGUGCCAGCAGCCGCGGUAAUAC